AAAAAAAAAAAAAAAAAAAAACCCCACAACACUGUCGCAAACAAAGAAAAAGAAUUUAAGUUCUAAACACUGUGGACCUCAUUAUAAAUGCCCCCUGGAAAACUUAAGUGCUUUUUUUCAGUGUGCGUGUGCAUGUGCGUGCCCAUCCGCGUGGCCGCAGAGGUGUCGCAUCUGCGUGCACACACACACUCCCCUGGUGCAUGUCCGCACGCCUGCCUGCUCGUGGGCGCGUGUGCAUUAAACUGGGCGUGUCAGGAAAGCUGAGUGUUUGGGAAAGAGGGAAGAUGCUUCAUCUCCUUUUCUCAGUAAGGGGGCUUUAAAAGACUCCAUUUUCAGGUGUGCAGAUUGGUAGAAAACUGAUGUAAAUUUUUCAGGCAGCUGAGAUCUGAAGUGACUUGACGCUCUCUGUCCUUCACCCCGCGGUCCCCCCCUCCCCCAGCCUCCCUCGGCCCUCUGUCCUCUUCCCCAACCUUCCUGACCCUCCCACCCCCACCCCAUCCCCCGGCUGCCCUGCCAUGGAUUCUCCAAACUGCAUUAGAUGGACGGCUUCUGCACUGGACUUCGUUCUCGUUCACCUUCAGGGCAUUGAGCUGCUGCCUUCCUGACACCCUUGGGUGUCACGGGGCAGCCGCCUUAGAAACACACCUAUCUAUCUCCCCAAAUCAGGAAAGGAGACUUUAAAAAUAUAAAGCUGACCUUUUGCUUUUUAAUAUAAGAUAGGGGGAAAAAAAAAGACAUUUUUCAAAGAAGUUUAGAUACUGUCUCCACUCCUUAAUAAUUUUUUUCCUAACGUUUUAGCCGUUUUUACCUUUUUUUUUUUUUUUUUUUUUUUCAAAUUUGAUUUAGACUCUGCUAGGAGGCACUGAAUGUCUAUAACUUAUGUUUUGGAGGGUUUGGGGGUUUUGUUUUUUAUUGCCCUUUUUGUUCCUCAAAUCACACUGUAAACUAGCUCAUCUCAGUGGUAUAGUCAAUAUCCUAAGGUUUUUAUUAGCCUUCCCUGCCCAUGUAUUCCAACAGCCAAGACUGUGAACUUGGCUGUGCUGUGUGGAGACCAGGAGUGGGGUUGGAGUCACAGGUUUCGCAGAUGUGGGGUGAGGCGGAAGCCAUAGGGAAGCGUGUGGCUUAGGAGUUCUGAAUGUAAGCAACAGACUGCCCUCCUGGCUCGCUGUGUCUGGUCCUGCGAAUGUCUGAUUUCUAUACCCAGAGUGCAUUACACUACUCGCCACAUCCCAGACGCUCCCAGCUCCGCAGGGGCUCCUGCGUUGAUCCACGUUCACAUCCAUCACAGCCCAGACCCACGCCCCCGGGGAUUCCGGUGCCCGCAGCCCCGGGGGCUCCCCCCACGUGAGCCUCAGCCCUCCUUCUGGGACAGUCGUUGAGCACGGUGCCUUGUGGGCCAAAUGACAGAUGUUUGGAGGGUGGAAUGGCCUUAGGCUACGUUCAACGUGAUGCUGUGAAAGAUGUUUUUAGGCUUUUCUCUCCGUGAGCAAUUUAUGGAGUCCACACCCUCAGCCCAAACGCCCACAGGGAGACCCUUGUCCCCCUAAGAGGUAGUCCCAUCAGGAUCAGUGCUCAGCCACCCCCCCACCCCUGACCCCACCUCUCCGUGUAUAAGGUGCUGGUGGUCCCAUGUGGUCCCCACCCCCUCCCGGUGCCCUGGCUGUGGGAUAAGAGCUGGUGACCCCCAGGGCUUCAGGCUGAGGAUGACCGCCACCGUGGGGGCCAUUUGCAAAGGCACCUCCUGCCAUGCUGGGGUGACUUCGUCCACUCCAUCCCUUCCUCGUGAUAAAACAUUGUUCAACUUCGAGAUACCUCGACUACAAAAAGCACUGUACAACAGCCCUCUCCCCUGGUCCAUGGCAGUCAAGGUGGGGGAGCAAAGUUAAUUGAAAACUCAAGGCUUAGGAUCAUGGACCAGAACACUGUCCCAGGUGCCAAGCCUGCUCACUUUGCCUCAUGAGAACUAACCCUCGAGUCUCGGACACACUGAACUGCAUCAAAGUGGGCGCUUUCCACGUUCCCUCCAGCAAGCCAUGGUCUCAGGAACCACCAUGCCACUUCCUCUCCCGGAGAAGUUCUCAUAUUUACUAUACAGCAUUUCCAGCUGGGGUCGUGCCAUCAGAAGAGCCUCCGUCCACUCUGGACAGUCACCUGACGUCGCUUCCUGGAGCGUACAGGAGCAUCCACAGGCUUUCCCUUGAGACCUUUGGGGACAUUGCCGAGGGUGGCUGCAGGGCUGCUGAUGGGUGACAGAUGCCUACAACAAAAGGCCUCCACCGUUGCUUUGCUGCCGGGGAAGGGUCCGUGACCUGGCAUUCUGAGCCACGCCAGGAGGAUGGGAGCUGCCCCUUCCGUGUGGUUGGUAGGAGCCAAUCCUUGGAGACGUAUCCUGGCUCUCCUUAGAGCAGAGCUGUGCCGGUGUUGCCUGAUUAGUGGGCCACUUAGUUAGAAAAGAGGCAUUUCGCUUCCUUGCAGAGCCAUCAGGACCAGCCCAGAGAUAAGCCUCCUCCUCGGAGCUCUGUGAUGUCUGCCCUCCAGCACGAGAAUGUGAGGAAGUCUUACUAAACCCCUGGAAUCUAGUCGUAUGUGUCACCUCCUGUUGUCGUCCUCCUUUCCACCUCAUUUCAAUCCCUGGGGCUUUGGCUUGCUCUUCAGGUUUGAUGCGAGUGCCACUAGGUACCCCAAAAGCUGUCUCCCCGGGCCGCCUCAGCCAGAUAUGGGAGCAAUGUGGCAGCUUGUCAUUUCUCCCCUGCAGCUUGUGGUUCUUCAGAAACUGUCAUCACCAACAGGAAAGGCUGCACCAAGGAGUCCCCGUCCCCGUCUUCUUUCCCACACAGGCAUCUUCCCAUAGUGCAAUGCCCUUGCAAUGAACAGCUUGAUAAAACCCAAAGAUCUCACAGGUCCAGCCACUGGCCCCUUAUCUCCAGCAAUAUCCACCCUAUCCAAAUUCUAGCUCAGCCAAAGGAUCGAGGUUGGCUCCUCCCGUGCAUCUCCUAGCCCCCAGCCUGGCAUUGACCUUCAGAAGGAUGUUGUCUUCUGUUACCCAGUUCUGUGGCCACACCAGGACUCUGCAGCUCAAGGUGGUUGGUUGCCUGCGGACUUGGACACAACUUGCCUGAAGCACGUGAUUCCAAGGACAGGACUGGCCUUUGUGUGGACGUACACAGCCCCCCGAGGGAAGAUGGAGAAAACACACCUCCACUCUGCAGGAUUCCCCCUCAUCGGAGGUCAGCCGGCUCCACCACCAAAUCUCAAGCCAAGGACCACAGCCUCAUGGGGGCGGGGGUCUCUCAGAUUUGAAGUCACUGAAGUCCAGUUCCACCGGGAACAGCAGUGCCAACCAGUCGUCGUCGUGAGGGCCCUUGUGCCCACGUGGUUCUUCUUCCCUGUGCCCAGGUCCACCAGCAGAGCCUCCCUCCAGGAAACAAGACAGAGGGGCCACCGGGUAAAGCUCCUUCUGGCUGCUCUUCUUCUUGGGGUUCACGGUAUAGAAAGCCUGCUACUGCGUCUGCGAGCGAAGACAUCGUGCCCCCAGGCCACCUGACAGCCUCGUGCUGGGCGUUCAGGGCUUGACUCCUGGCUGGGUAAAAGGGGGCUGAGGUUUCCUGGUGAGGAGAUGCCAGUCCGAUGGCGCAGCAGAGAAGGUCUGGGUCUCCAGUUUCUAGGAAGGACUCUUGACACGAUCUCCGCAGGGUGGCAAGCGUCCUCUCUUUCAGUUGGCUCCUUUCUCUCCUGCACUUUCACAACACACCAGAGAAAAACUCUGUAAGGCACGUUUUCCACUGUGAAGCUGACCCUCUACCUUUAGGGGUUCCCUAAGCCUGCGCCUGGACUUAGACUAGACUCCCUGGAAAGUGGGCACCCGGAGAGCUGUCACACCGUCUCGGGGCCACAGGUUCACAAGAAAGGUUUGGAAUGAAGCAGGGGUGCGGAUGGAGAAGGGCGAUCCCAUGAGACGUGGCCCAGGAGGGGACCAUGCCUGGAUGUUGCCGUCACGAUAGAUGCGCUCGCUGAGACGGGACGAGGAGGCACCCAGGGCACGGCUGGGCAGCCUCCUCCUGCCCCGCUGAGCCAGGGCAGGUGCACAGCUCUGUCCUUGCCUUGGGAACGGCAGCAACACCUCUGUCCAUGGGACAUCCCUGAUGGAGGGCUUCUAGAAAGGCUGCUGGUUUUGACAAAACCAAGCAGCUAAGUAAGGCUCAGGCUGUGCCCUGGAGACAGUAGGUGGAGGGCUCCAGUCUCGGGCCUGCAGCCCCGCCCUGGCCCUCUGUAUCCAGCUGGGCCAGUGGGAGAACUGGGAAGGGGCCCGCCCCCUCGUCACUGUGGCUAAAGUUUGCUAGGCCAGUUAUGGUGAACCAAUGAUGCGGUGUUUUCCCCCCGUGUUUCCCUCCCAGUUUGCCCUUUGCAGGGUUCUCUGGAGGAUUUUGUUGUCACUGUUGUUGUUGUUUCUUUCUCUUUUGUUUGGGUUUGAGGAUCGUGGUCAGUGGAGCCCGCCUUUCCCUGAAGGGCCCUGUGGUUUCUGGGCAGAGAGGCACCUGCUCCCGCUUUGAUGAGGGUGAAGGGCGUCGGGUUGCUGUGUGGUCUGUUCAUGUCCCAUCACCGCCACGGGCGUCGCUUUAACGAUCCAACUCCUGUACAGAGAAGGAUUUGCUAGGUUGGCAGCUGGGUGUCAGCAUCAGGUUCCCAGGGGUCCUUCCCCACCCACGCGUCCCACCUCCGGGCACCUCGACUCUUCGAACCAAAGUUCCUUAAAGGGGCACAGCCCAGCCUUGUCCGCAACCUCAGGGGCCCGGCAUCCCUGUGGCACUUCCGGAAGUCCAGGGUGGCAGAGACCGAGGGGCCUGAGGCCAUCCGGAAGUGGGGGGGGGGUCCUGCCACAACCCAGGUGCCAGCCGGUCCCCUCUCGGGACCCUUCCCUCCCACCCCACCAGGGUGGCCGGGUUCCACGGUGGUGGGCGAGCUCGUGGACUGGCAUGGGGCCGGGGGCGCGCCAGCCAGGAGACAGAGGGACCCGCCGGGCAGCGCGUCCAGGGCCAUUCAGACCCCGAGCAUCAGGAAAUCAUUUUGUACAACCACCCGAAGCAGAGAUAUUUUUUAAAAAGCCUAAAUUAUUUUCAGUUGUUCGGUGAUGAUCCUGCCUUUUUCUUUUCCCCACAAACGUCAUGUCAGUGAUUCUUUCACAUCAGGUAAAUCUCGAGAAAGCCUUGGUGCCCCUCCCUCCCAGGCCCCCCUCAGUAACCACGUGCGUGCGCCCCCCCCAUCCUUUCUCAGUAGUUACGACGUUCUAGGCAAUACCAUAGACACACCUGACUGUGUCUCUCUCUUCGAGUGCAAGAAACUCAAAGUCAUCU
rnacentral:lncRNA from 1 species